AUACGUAGGGUGCAAGCGUUAAUCGGAAUUACUGGGCGUAAAGCGUGCGCAGGCGGUUUUGUAAGACAGAGGUGAAAUCCCCGGGGUCAACCUGGGAACUGCCUUUGUGACUGCAAGGCUAGAGUGCGGCAGAGGGGGAUGGAAUUCCGCGGGUAGAGGUGAAAUGCGUAGAUAUGCGGAGGAACACCGAUGGCGAAGGCAAUCCCCUGGGCCUGUACUGACGCUCAUGCACGAAAGCGUGGGGAGCAAACAGGAUUAGAUACCCUGGUAGUCAACGCCCUAAACGAUGUCAACUGGUUGUUGGGUCUUCAUUGACUCAGUAACGAAGCUAACGCGUGAAGUUGACCGCCUGGGGAGUACGGCCGCAAGGUUGAAACUCAAAUGAAUUGACGGGG
rnacentral:rRNA from 1 species